rnacentral:rRNA from 1 species
AUGUUCGCCGUCAUCGCGCCGAGUCCGUCGCCGGUCGCCUCCGUUGCCUCUGCUUUGCCCGCAAGCCACUUCCUCGCGCUGACCCUGCCGCCGCUCCUGCGUUUUCUCUUGCAUCCUCGUCUCCAGCAGUUCCCGCCGCGGCCGCUCCGUUCGUCGCUGUCUCCGUCAGAUCCGACGAGUCCCUGCGCCCUGGCCUCAUCCCCGCCUCCAGGUCGCCGCUCCGCCGCCGGAGACCAAGCUGCAGCUGCACCUGGCCCCUGCCUCGACCUUCUGUCAGCGCCAUGUUUGCCUCUGCUUCUUUCGAACAGGGAGGAGGACGCCCCUGCCUCGCUGCGUUGA